GAUGAACGCUGGUGGCGUGCCUAACACAUGCAAGUCGAGCGAUUCUCUUCGGAGAAGAGCGGCGGACGGGUGAGUAACGCGUGGGUAACCUGCCCUGUACACACGGAUAACAUACCGAAAGGUAUGCUAAUACGAGAUAACAUGCUUUUAUCGCAUGGUAGAAGUAUCAAAGCUUUUGCGGUACAGGAUGGACCCGCGUCUGAUUAGCUAGUUGGUGAGGUAACGGCUCACCAAGGCGACGAUCAGUAGCCGACCUGAGAGGGUGAUCGGCCACAUCGGAACUGAGACACGGUCCAAACUCCUACGGGAGGCAGCAGUGGGGAAUAUUGCACAAUGGGCGAAAGCCUGAUGCAGCAACGCCGCGUGAGCGAUGAAGGCCUUCGGGUCGUAAAGCUCUGUCCUCAAGGAAGAUAAUGACGGUACUUGAGGAGGAAGCCCCGGCUAACUACGUG
rnacentral:rRNA from 1 species